AUACGUAGGCAGCGAGCGUUGUCCGGAAUUACUGGGUGUAAAGGGAGCGUAGGCGGGAGUGCAAGUCAGAUGUGAAAUACAUGGGCUCAACCCAUGGGCUGCAUUUGAAACUGCAUUUCUUGAGUGAAGUAGAGGUAAGCGGAAUUCCUGGUGUAGCGGUGAAAUGCGUAGAUAUCAGGAGGAACACCGGUGGCGAAAGCGGCUUACUGGGCUUUUACUGACGCUGAGGCUCGAAAGCGUGGGGAGCAAACAGGAUUAGAUACCCUGGUAGUCCACGCUGUAAACGAUGAUUACUAGGUGUGGGGGGACUGACCCCUUCCGUGCCGCAGUUAACACAAUAAGUAAUCCACCUGGGGAGUACGGCCGCAAGGUUGAAACUCAAAUGAAUUGGCGGGG
rnacentral:rRNA from 1 species